UGGGGAGCCCCUGGCCCUUCCUCAAGGGCUAACCCGAGCCUUCUGCAGGACUGGACCUCGCCUCCCUGGCCCCCGGGGCCUAUCAGAGCGAGGGCCCGGAUGCGCCCAGUGACGUCACACCAGUCACUCCCCCCCACCCCCACAAUUCAGCCGUGGGACACGCAACUGUCCCCGACCGGGCGAAGAGCGCGUCGGCCCGGACCGCGUCUGCGCACGCGCACAGUCCGCUAAAGAGGCCGCUCUAGGCCCGCAGUCCGCCUCGUUGGCCUGGGCACGCGCGCGCACGCGCGCCGCCCGCCCGGCACGCCCGAGCGGGAGGGCUGUUCCCCGUGUAUCCCCACGUUCUUCUCACACAUCUCCGCGCAAACACGGCGCGGGCCGCGCUCCUGCGAGCGGGAAGCGGGGUCGCUCUUCCCCGGAAGGCUAACCGGCCCUCCCUCGGCGCUCACGGCCUCCGUCUGCUCGCGGCCCACGAUCCCCCGGCAUGGGGGCGUGUUUCCGGUGGCGAGGCUCGGAGCCCUCCGCCUUUCCUGCACCGGAAUGGCUCAGGCAACGCUUCUUCCUCCGCAGGCUAUUAGUUCUUCCCGUCGCCUCGUCCUAAGAGUACUGCAUUAAAAAAUAAAUAAAUAAAAUCCGGUUUGUUAUGCAAGCAGCAUCCCAACAGUACACAAUUAUAUCAAAAAUAGCUAAGCGAUUAAAAAAAAAAAGUCUGGCGUGGUUGAGGCAGGAGGAUUGCAGUGAAUUCUAAAUCCAGCCUGGGCUACGUAGUGAGACUGUUGUCUCAAAAACCACGGAGGGAAGGGAGGCGGAACAAUGGAGCGGAGUAGUCCGUACAUUUGGGAGGCUGAGUUUCAGUGGUGUGACUCCCUGGGUAACAGUCUGAAGAACUUGCCAGUGGCAGCACUUCACCUGGGAAGCAGCACUCAGGAGGCAGGUGGAUCUCUGUGAGUUCGAGGCCAGCCUGGUCUAUAUAAUGAGUUCCAGGACAGCCAGAGCUCCACGGUGGAACCCAAGAGUUAGGAUAUCUGCAGCCUAGGAUGCCUAACAGCACCAAUCUGAGAAUGAAGAACAUCCCUACUGAUAGCAAGAAAUAAUCCAAACAGAAGGACUCAGCCUUCUGGGAUAUGCAGAAAGUCUGGCAAAGGCUGACAUUGGACUAAUGAAUACAGACUGACAUGCCAUAGGCAAGGAGAAUGAAGUUUUCAACUAAGGAAUCUAAAGGCCCUGAGACAAAUGAGACAUCUGAAGGAGAAGGGAGAAUCAUCCAGAGAAAAUGUCCCAAGAAAAAGAGAAAAUUGUCCUAUUGGUAUAGCACAUUUCCAACAAAAUAAAAUUUCAUAAAUCUUCCCAAAUGUUUGUUUCUGCUGUUCUCUACAGACAUCUAAGGC
rnacentral:lncRNA from 1 species